CUGCCGUAUGCUGGGGGAUAACACUUAGAAAUAGGUGCUAAUACCGCAUAAGCGCACAGCUUCGCAUGAAGUGGUGUGAAAAACUCUGGUGGUAUACGAUGGUUCCGCGUCUGAUUAGCUUGUUGGUGGGGUAAUGGCUCACCAAGGCGACGAUCAGUAGCCGGCCUGAGAGGGUGAACGGCCACAUUGGGACUGAGACACGGCCCAAACUCCUACGGGAGGCAGCAGUGGGGAAUAUUGCACAAUGGGGGAAACCCUGAUGCAGCGACGCCGCGUGAGUGAAGAAGUAUUUCGGUAUGUAAAGCUCUAUCAGCAGGGAAGAAAAUGACGGUACCUGAUUAAGAAGCCCCGGCUAACUACGUGCCAGCAGCCGCGGUAAUACGUAGGGGGCAAGCGUUAUCCGGAUUUACUGGGUGUAAAGGGAGCGUAGACGGCAGCACAAGUCUGAAGUGAAAUGCCGGGGCUUAACCCCGGAACUGCUUUGGAAACUGUGCAGCUAGAGUGCAGGAGAGGUAAGUGGAAUUCCUAGUGUAGCGGUGAAAUGCGUAGAUAUUAGGAGGAACACCAGUGGCGAAGGCGGCUUACUGGACUGUAACUGACGUUGAGGCUCGAAAGCGUGGGGAGCAAACAGGAUUAGAUACCCUGGUAGUCCACGCUGUAAACGAUGA
rnacentral:rRNA from 1 species